GGUAGAGAGGAGCUCAUCAGUGUGUUUAUGAGUGAAGUGCCUAAUAUCCUUUGGGAAGGAACCCUCUAAUUCAUGUCCUUUGGGAAGUUUUGAGACUAGGGUUAACAGCAGCCCUAAUAGAGUCCUCCCUGAGCCUUGGAGAUGUGAGUUCUUACACAACUUUGCUCUGGGCCAGAGCAGACUGGGCAAGAUAUGCCAUGUGGAAAAGCCCAGUGUCUGCAUCCCUAGAUGGAUCUUGGAAUAUGCUCUUGCCAGUUUGUGAAGCAAUCUAGAAUUCUCUUUUAUGUC
rnacentral:RNase_P_RNA from 1 species